UGAUCUCUUAUCUUUAUGUCAUUCUUCUGGCCGUGAGAUUAAUGAGGAAGAGAAUUCAAGGUGAAGACAAUUCUUCCAAACAUUGAUGUGAAAAUGCAGGCGUCAUCUUGGGUCCGUUUCAUCUCUGUAGGAUGGAGCAGGCCAGAAGAAUCUGAACACGUCUCAUGCAACCAAGGCCUGUCACUCAAAUAAAAGGCUUCAGGCAAAUAGAAGGUGUCAUCGAGAUGAGUAAGAGUCUGACAGCACUGGAAAUCUGAUGGCUUAAUAACUUUCAGGAAAGUCCUUCAUAUGUUUUUCUGCUGUACUUCUUCAAAUUAUUAAUUUUAAAUAUCAUCCUACACCAAAAGCAGAACAAAAGUUUAAUAACAGCAUCUCAAAAAAUAACAAAAACUUUAUUAUAAUUAAUAUCAAAGUACAUCCACUUUAUUUAUACUCUGAUUAUUCACAUUCAAGUGUGACCUACUUCAGAAAUAACUAACAGUCAUUCAAAUUUGAUCAUCUUAUUGAUCUUAACCAACACUAUCUGUCUUGGGUCCGACUUUUUAACUCAAAGCAUUUAUGUGACCCUGUCUGUGAAAUUCAGCCUUUACGAUGAGAUAAAUGAGC